AUCAACCUUAUCACUUUGCACGACCAUUACUCUGAAAAACAGAGAGAAAAGAAAACCAAAUGCCAUUUCUUGGCUGGUUUGAAGAAAUUCUAAGGAGAUCCAAGUGAAAUCAAAGCCAAAGAAGUGGAUUAAGCUUAAUUCUAGCCUUUUUAUGAUAUUUCUUGGUGGUUUCCAAGUGGUUUGAGGUUUAGAAAGGCUAGAAGAGAUUGUUUUCACCGAAAAGUUGCUCGGAUAAGCACAUCAACACCUAAGACACCACUUGUUACACGGUGGAUUAUAUUUUGGACAGAAGGUAGAGAAAGAAAUGAGUGAAUGACAUAAGGAGAACUGAAGCAUGGUCCUGACCCUGAUUUGUACAUAUGAACAUAUCGACCUUUUUGUGGGUUAUUUCAGUUAUCAGUGUGAUGUUUGUAAUAAAGUGUGAAGUUAUGUUUUGAAAACAAAUUGGGUUAUUUAAUACUUAUGUAUAAUAUGUUUGAGACACACUUUAUGUUUAAUGUAAAUAAUGUGAAAUAAGUUUUCAAGUUUUAAAAAAAAAAUGUCCAGACUUCCGCAGUAAUAAAUUAGGAUAUAGUUUUAAAACGUAACACCUCAAAUAUGGUUUUAUCUGAAAAUAAGUGAGGGUGUUACAUAUUGACAUAAAGUUCCUAGUUGUGAAAGAGAGAGUACAGAGUGGACAGAUAUCCAUAGAGCACAUUGGGACAAACUCCAUGAUAGCGGAUCCGCUCACAAAGGGAUUGCCACCCAAGGUCUUUCACGAGCAUACUGCUCAUAUGGGUGUUGUAUUGUUUGAGGAUAUCAUGAUUUAGUGGGAGUUUGUAUUUUAUUUGCUUUAUAUUUGCUUCAGACAUUUAUGUAUUUAGUUAUUUUCUUAUCAGAAUGAAGUAUUCAGUUUAUUCA